rnacentral:rRNA from 1 species
CCCCGGGAAACUGGGGCUAAUUCUCGAUAAGUGAAGAACUCUGGAAUGAGUCUUUGCUAAAAAGACGUUUACGUUAUGCUCGUAGGCGUCGCCCAAGGAUGAGGCCGCGACCGAUCAGGUUGUUGGUGAGGUAAUGGCUCACCAAGCCUUUUACCGGUGCGGGCCGUGAGAGCGGGAGCCCGGAGAUGGGCACUGAGACAAGGGCCCAGGCCCUACGGGGCGCAGCAGUCGCGAAAACUUUGCAAUACACGAAAGUGUGACAGGGCUAUCCCGAGUGCCAUCCGCUGAGGAAGGCUUUUACCCAGUCUAGAACGCUGGGGGAAUAAGGAGAGGGCAAGUCUGGUGUCAGCCGCCGCGGUAAUACCAGCUCUCCGAGUGGUGUGGAUGUUUAUUGGGCCUAAAGCAUCCGUAGCUGGCUGAGUUAGUCCCUUGUUAAAUCCACCGAAUUAAUCGUUGGAUUGCGGGGGAUACUGCUCGGCUAGGGGACGAGAGAGGCAGACGGUAUUUCCGGGGUAGGGGUGAAAUCCUAUAAUCCCGGGAAGACCACCAGUGGCGAAGGCUGUCUGCUAGAACGCGCCCGACGGUGAGGGAUGAAAGCUGGGGGAGCGAACCGGAUUAGAUACCCGGGUAGUCCCAGCUGUAAACGAUGCAGGCUAGGUGUUUGGACGGCCACGUGCCGUUCUAGUGCCGCAGGGAAGCUGUUAAGCCUGCCGCCUGGGGAGUACGAUCGCAAGAUUGAAACUUAA